CAGCCGCCACGGUAAUACAGAGGGUGCGAGCGUUAAUCGGAUUUACUGGGCGUAAAGCGUGCGUAGGCGGCUUUUUAAGUCGGAUGUGAAAUCCCUGAGCUUAACUUAGGAAUUGCAUUCGAUACUGGGAAGCUAGAGUAUGGGAGAGGAUGGUAGAAUUCCAGGUGUAGCGGUGAAAUGCGUAGAGAUCUGGAGGAAUACCGAUGGCGAAGGCAGCCAUCUGGCCUAAUACUGACGCUGAGGUACGAAAGCAUGGGGAGCAAACAGGAUUAGAUACCCGUGUAGUCCUGUCUCUUAUACA
rnacentral:rRNA from 1 species